rnacentral:rRNA from 1 species
UGCAGUCGAGUGCGCGGUUGUAGCAAUACAACUGGCGCACGGCGCACGGGCGCGUAACACGUGGGCAAUCUGCCCUUCGAUGGGGAAUAACUCCGGGAAACCGAAGCUAAUUCCGCAUAACAUUCCUUGGACCUCGGUUCGAGGACUCAAAGCCGUAAGGCGUCGAAGGAGGAGCCCGCGCACGAUUAGCUAGUUGGUAGGGUAACGGCCUACCAAGGCUUUGAUCGUUAGCUGGUCUGAGAGGAUGGCCAGCCACACUGGAACUGAGACACGGUCCAGACUCCUACGGGAGGCAGCAGUGGGGAAUCUUGCACAAUGGGCGAAAGCCUGAUGCAGCGACGCCGCGUGGGGGAUGAAGCAUCUCGGUGUGUAAACCCCUUUCGACCCGGACGAAUGCCUCGCAAGAGGAGUGACGGUACGGGUAUAAGAAGCCCCGGCUAACUACGUGCCAGCAGCCGCGGUAAGACGUAGGGGGCCAGCGUUGUUCGGAAUUACUGGGUGUAAAGGGUCAGUAGGCGGUGUGGCAAGUCGGGAGUGAAAUCUCUGGGCUCAACCCAGAGGCUGCUUCCGAAACUGCCAUGCUAGAGUGUGGGAGAGGCGCGUGGAAUUGCAGGUGUAGCGGUGAAAUGCGUAGAUAUCUGCAGGAACACCCGUGGCGAAAGCGGCGCGCUGGACCACAACUGACGCUGAAUGACGAAAGCUAGGGGAGCAAACAGGAUUAGAUACCCUGGUAGUCCUAGCCCUAAACGAUCAGGACUUGGGGUGCCGCACGUUCGUGCGUCGUCCCGGAGCUAACGCGUUAAGUCCUGCACCUGGGGAGUACGGUCGCAAGACUGAAACUCAAAAGGAAUUGACGGGGGGCCCGCACAACCGGUGGAACAUGUGGUUCAAUUCGACGCUAC